CUGAGUGCGGGCCCUCUGGGUCCAACCUCCCACCCGUGUCUAUUAUACCUAGUUGCUUCGGCGGGCCCGCCGUUAGGCCGCCGGGGGCAUCUGCCCCCGGGCCCGCGUCCGCCGAAGACCCCAACAUGAACCCUGUUCUGAAGUUUUGCAGUCUGAGUUGAUUCUUGUAAUCGUUAA
rnacentral:misc_RNA from 1 species